AAUAAAGAAGUAAUAAAAACAACCAGAACAACAAAAUGGCAGCCAAUUCUCCUCAAACAGAAUUUUGUCCACCCAUGAGAUAUAACUUAAACAAAAUAGCUGAUUUUGAGGCAGAUGAAAUGACUGAGAAAUGCUUUUUCUCAAUUUCGUAAGGAUAGAAAUACAAAUAGCUCUCCGAAGGGUUGCGCCAUUGUGUGGUGUAUAAACAAAUAACAACCCGGUAACGGUAAUGUGGCAUUGGUGUAUGUUUUACCUCAGAUGAAAAAACUGGGCCCAAAUAAUUUGUAAGGAGAUACGUCCAUGGAAAAAGUGAGGUCUGCAACGGAAAUAUUGAGACCAUGCCCAGGUCUGUGUGCUUGAUUUAUUGCACUGCCGCUCCUAUAGUAAAUCUGCAACUCUUCCCAUGAAACUUCAUCCCUCCAGACUGUAACCUUCAAGCCCAGAUUAACAUAGCUGGAUCAAAAGCCUUUGUCUCUUGCAAACAUCUUUUGCCCCAACAUUUGCACCCAGGAAAAAAAGAAAGAAAGAAAGGCUCAGUGUUUAUUUGGGUAAUGAAUUGCAGUAAUUAAUGCACACAUUGAUCCUGAUCCCAACUUUCCCCCUUAAAGGUCAUUUCCAUAUUUAAUUUAUAGAAAGCGCAUACAAUUCCUUUUCAACAGAGCACAGCCCAGAAUUCAAGAAAAAAAUAUCCGGUGCCUGCUCUGUGGAAAGAUGAGCGAGCGAUGAGGGCAAGGGGUGAAUUUCAUAUCAUAUUAAAAAGUGGCUGAACUGCAAUGAUUAGAAAAAAUCAUAUUUCCUGUUUAGAGGGAGGAGCUAACAAUGGAGGCUGUAACUCAAUCUGCUAAAGAAAAUAAUCUCACUAACUUUAUGAAGAUAUAUUAGAUUUUUACAAGUGCUGGGAUUGGUUCCUGAUAUCAGAACCCCAUUUAGGGAAUUUUAGUAUGAAUCUUGUGGUAAUUUUAAACUUUUUGUGUGUGUUAUCAAAACAAUAGCAAGCAUAUUACGUCCCACUGAUUUCAGGUGGAGCAUUAAAUGCAUGCUUAAUACUGAUACAAGUUUACCUGGGUGUAAGCUUCAUUUAAUGUACUGAGACUUACUUUUGAGUAAGAAUACAUAGACUUGUGAUGUAUAUCUCUUCCCCUGAAAUUAAUGUGACUAAGACUACAAACCUAUGCACAAAUAGCAUAAUGUACUUUGAACAGGAUAGGACUUACCUCUGAGUAUAUAUGCCUAGGCUGCUGCUGUUACAGUGCUUAAAUUUGUCUGGAUUGUGCCAUGCAUGUUUUGACUAUGGGGCAAUCCAUAUUAAAACACACAUAAACAUCCUAUAUAUUCCUUUUCUCUAAGAAGCAUCAUUGUUCUAGGAGUUCCACAAGGCAUGUAAACAUGUCACAUAUUGCUUACAACUAAAAAAUAUCUUUCCGUUGUAAAAAAUAUAGGCCCCUCACUUUACAAUAAACUAUCCAGUUAUGACUCAUUAGGGAAACGAAGAGGCAAAAUUGAAAUGAAAUGAAAAAAAGAUUUCUGACCAGAAAAGAGGCAUUUCUGAGAUGCAAGACGCUUAAGAUUCUAUUUGUGGGCAGCUAAAGAUGUGAUUUAAAACACACAGUGAGAAGCUCUGAAAUAUCCUCCCUUGUAUUACCCCAUAAGUAAAAUUUCAAUGUGUUUUUUUUUCCUUAAGGAAAGGAAAUUGUAUGGACCAGAGAUGCAUCUGAGGAAUGCAGUCAGAUGUUUAACUGAAAUGCACAGGUGCUGUUAAUGCGAAAAUUAAAUCUGUUCCCCACACCCUCCACCCCGGCAGAGACACACUCAUACAAGGACACAAAAAGGAAGAAUUAUUUGGAAGCACACGCCAGCUAAAGGAAUACCUGAUUAACCUUUCACUGACUCCUGGGAUCACGUGAUACAAAGCUUGCCUUCCUCCUAGAGUGAUGGCUUUAGAAGAAGAUGUUAAAUUUAACCUCUGGUGCAAUGAUAAAUUGACAAUAAAAAAUUCAAUGGCUUGGUAAUUACCAAUCACUUUGGACAUCGGCAACAUUUUUCAGUUCUGUCAGCACUUAUUGGCACAGAAGCUUCGGCUGAAAUUCUCCCAGUCUCCCUUCUUUUUCAACUUUGUUUUGCACGAUGCAGAUUAAAUCUGCCACCCUAUUACGGAUUCAUUUUCCUAAUUUUUCAUGUCUGCACCAUGC